UUGUCGAUGACAGCUGUCAGAAGAUAUCAGCUGGAUUUGUUGUUAAAUGCUAUGCUCUCAGUUAUAACCUCGAUUAAUUUGCGUGAUUGAAGGAGGUUAUUUAUAGUGUGAUUCAUUGUGUUAUUAGUAAAACAAUGAGUAAGCGUCGGCGUGGUAGAGAAAAGUCACCAGUGGUUACUAAGUUUGGUGUUCCCAAGGCGUUGAUUACAGAUCAAGGGGCAAACUUUACCUCUGACCUGAUCAAAUUCUUGCACAUCAGGAAAAUCCAGACUACAGACUGUGUUUUCACCCACAGAGUAAUGUUCGGCUAGAGAGAGAGUACACGCGACUGUAAAAACACUCUGAUAAAUAAUAUUGUUAGUGCUGAAGGUGUUAUUUUUGAAGACAAUUCUAAAGACUGAGCCAUAGUUGUGUGGACAUCAUAAGCCCAAAUAAUGAAUUAUUUACUGAAAAUGAAAAAUGUGAUUUUUUAAGAAGAUCCUGAUGUUAUUCCUAAACAUCUUGAAACAGCAUCUUUUUCAGAAGACGAGGCUGAAGCAAACGUGCCUUCAAUGUCAACAGGUCAAGGGAGGCCUAGGAAUACUCUUCUGAGGAGGAAACCUUGAAGAUACACCUGGUACAAGCAGACUAAUCCCAAGAGUCUCGCUUGGGAAUUGGGAAUAAACGUACAUUUAUUAAUUGAAAAUGUUAAAAAUUAUAAAUAAAUAUAUUACUAUA